GACGAACGCUGGCGGCGUGCCUAACACAUGCAAGUCAAGGAGAAUUCCGCUUUCGGGUGGAUAGUAAACUGGCGAACGGGUGAGUAACACGUAGGUAAUCUACCCUCGAGAUUGGGAUAGCCUCGCGAAAGUGGGGAUAAUACCGAAUAAAGUCUCGAUAUAAUUUGUCGAGAUGAAAGAUGGGGAUCUUCGGACCUAUCACUUGAGGAUGAGCCUGCGCCUGAUUAGCUAGUUGGUAGGGUAAUGGCCUACCAAGGCAACGAUCAGUAGCUGGUCUGAGAGGAUGAUCAGCCACAUUGGGACUGAGAUACGGCCCAAACUCCUACGGGAGGCUG
rnacentral:rRNA from 1 species